rnacentral:rRNA from 1 species
AUGGGUAAGUUCGAGCACGGCAAUCUACUGCUAUCUCUUAGCCAGGGACACUGGCAUGGUUACAGUCUUACAGCCGUUGCUGUUGCGCUGGGGGUAGGAGUUGCUGGGCUGUGCAGAGCGCUGAAUAGCAGUUUGGGCGUACAAUGGUUUCUCCGGAGGUUCUCCUCCGAAUCAGAGAGGCUGUACUACACCGGAGGCCUGCAAAAUCUUGGCAAUAAUUGCUUUCUCAAUGUUAUCCUGCAGGCACUUGCUAGCUGCGACCAUUUUGUCUUCUCUCUAGACGAUUUACUUGGAAGUGAUGAUGUGCUACCCGAGGAACAAUCUGAAAGAAUGCCUCUUAUCCUUGCUUUAAGUUCCCUUUUAAAAGAUUUGAGCAGAGUUCGAGAUCAAAAAAUUGUAUUGAAUCCAGAAAGCGUAAUGCAUCCUUUGAGCUGCUAUGUUAGUCACUUCAAUUUGACCAGACAGCAGGAUGCUUCUGAAGCUUUUGUUCAUCUAUUGACAUCACUGAGGGAUGAAUUUUCCCAUUGCUAUGUACCAUAUAAGAGCUCUCUGGCAGACAUUACCAUGUUCCACUCCAAAGUAUACAAGCAAAGGGAAGGUAACCAACCUGAAUGCAAGCGCUGGAAACAAAACAUAUUCGGUCCCUUUGAUGGGACUAUUGGCAGCACAUUAUCUUGCAGAAAUUGUUCAUCUGUGCUGUCAUUGGACUUCGAGAAUUUUCACUGCUUGCCCCUCUCUCCCGUGGCUGAUAUAAAUGGAGAUAUUAUUAAUGGGUGUAGUUUGGUGGAUUGCCUGAAGCAUUUCACUGUGUUGGAGCAUCUUGACAAUUACCGUUGUGAUCAUUGUUGGCAUAAUGCUGCUGCCAAAUAUUUCUCUCUUCAAUCAGAAGUUGAUGAGGAAAAAGUUAACAAACUGCGCACCUGUGUCGACUAUGAUAGUUGCAAUUGCAAGCAUUUAUUUGGUCCAGAGAAAACAACAUGGUCAGUAUCUUCGAAAGCCACAAAGCAGUUGGCUAUCACUCGUUGUCCGAAGAUCUUGUGCAUUCAUUUGUUACGUGCUUCUAUUAGUUUUGAUGGUGAACUCGUAAAGCGUCAGGGACACGUUUCUUUUCCUUUACUUCUCAAUUUAUCCCCAUUUGCAGGAGGCACAUUCACCACUGGACAGGGACCUGGACCUUCAGCUAUGAACGUGCAAAAAUAUGACACGCCGUCUCUCAAAUUCUAUCGGCAACUAAAUGCACACAUGCCCAUUAAUAUGUUUCCUACUGGUGGGAACUCAUCAAGUCAGGCACCUAAGGAUCAAGUAACAAAUGGUGGUGUCCACUCACUUAAUGAGGGAAAUGCUGAUGUGGCUUUGAGUUCUUCGUCACCAUCGCCGUCCGCAUCAAGGAUGGAGCUAUAUAGGCUAUCAGCUGUCGUUGAGCACUAUGGUGUAUGCGGAGGUGGGCAUUAUGCAGCUUACCGGAGAGUAGCGUCAACUCCUGACGCUAAUGAUCAAGUAGGACCUCGUCGCAAGCACUGGGUUUACGUCUCGGACGACCAUGUAUCACAAGUUUCAGAGGACGAUGUUUUGGGUGCGGAAGCCACCCUCCUUUUCUACGAAAGACUGUAG